UACGUAGGUGGCAAGCGUUGUCCGGAUUUACUGGGCGUAAAGAGCGCGCAGGCGGUCGUUCAAGUCGCGUGUGAAAGCCCCCGGCUCAACUGGGGAGGGUCACGCGAUACUGAUCGACUCGAAGGCAGGAGAGGGAAGUGGAAUUCCCGGUGUAGUGGUGAAAUGCGUAGAUAUCAGGAGGAACACCGGUGGCGAAGGCGGUUCUCUGGGCCGUAACUGACGCUGAGGAGCGAAAGCAUGGGGGAGCGAACAGG
rnacentral:rRNA from 1 species